UCAAGGUAAUAAGGGCAUAUGGUGGAUGUCUUGGCAUCAGGCGGCGAAGAAGGACGCGGCAGGCUGCGAAAAUUCACGGGGAGCUGCGAGCGAGCAUAGAUCCGUGGGUAUCCGAAUGGGGCAACCCAUCCACUGAAGAGGUGGAUAUUGUAUGCUGAACACAUAGGCAUACAAGGCUAACCUCCCGAAGUGAAACAUCUCAGUAGGGAGAGGAAUAGAAAUCUAAAGAGAUUCUCUAAGUAGCGGCGAGCGAAAGGGGAGUAGCCCAAACCCAGCUUAGAACCAAGGGCGGAAGAGCGGAAGGGGAGGCAGAGCGAAGGUUUUUAAACUUCCGAGCUAAUGACUUCCGAGCUUAGUUCUAAGCUGGGGGUUGUAGGACCGCAUGAGUACCAUUAUAUACUUAUAGCUGAAGAAGCAUGGAAAGGCUUACCGUAGGGGGUGAUAGUCCUGUAGGCGGAAUGAGUAUAUAGGGGAAGCGGAAUCCUGAGUACCACGGGGCACGAGGAAUCCUGUGGGAAGCAGGGGGGACCACCCUCCAAGGCUAAAUACGACCUGAUGACCGAUAGUGGACAAGUACCGUGAGGGAAAGGUGAAAAGAACCCUUGUUAAGGGAGUGAAAUAGAACCUGAAACCGUAUGCUUACAAGUAAUCGGAGCCCCUGCAAUGGGGUGACGGUGUACCUUUUGAUUAAUGGGCCGGCGAGUUAUUAGCUGUAGCGAGGUUAAAGUUUUAAGGACUGGAGCCGUAGGGAAACCGAGUCUGAAUAGGGCGUAUUAGUUACAGUUAAUAGACCCGAAGCCAGGUGAUCUACCCAUGGUCAGGAUGAAGCGGAGGUAAGACUUCGUGGAGGUCCGAACCGGUGUUUGUUGCAAAAAGCUCGGAUGAACUGUGGGUGGGGGUGAAAGGCCAAUCAAACCUGGUGAUAGCUGGUUCUCCCCGAAAUGUAUUUAGGUACAGCCUUUAAGUAGUCGCAGGGGGGUAGGGCACUGGAUGGGCUAGGGCCGCGCAGGCGGUACCAAACCCAACCAAACCACGAAUACCCUGUAAGAUGUUCUUAAGGAGUGAGACUGCGGGUGCUAAGAUUCGUAGUCGAGAGGGAAACAGCCCAGAUCGUCAGCUAAGGUCCCCAAGAUAGUGCUAAGUGGUAAAGGAUGUGGCGUUGCACAGACAGCCAGGAUGUUGGCUUAGAAGCAGCCAUCAUUUAAAGAAAGCGUAAUAGCUCACUGGUCGAGUGGCGUUGCGCCGAAAAUGUAGCGGGGCUAAAGCACUACACCGAAGCUACGGACUUAGACAGACGGUUCAAGCCGUUUAAGCUAUUAUUUUUAAGCGGUUUAAGCCGUCUGUUUAGGUGGUAGGGGAGCAUUCUAUGGACUUGAGAAGGUGAGCUGUGAGGCUUGCUGGAGGAGAUAGAAGGGACUAUGCCGGCAUAAGUAACGUAAAGGCUGAUGAAAAGUCAGCCCGCCGUAAACCUAAGGUUUCCCGGGGAAGGUAAAUCCGCCCGGGGUUAGUCGGUCCUAAGGUGAGGCCAUAUGGCGUAGCUGAUGGACAGCAGGUUAAUAUUCCUGCACCAUUUAUAUAGCGUUUGACCGAAGGGGGGACGCAGGAGGAUAGUUUGGGCCUGGUGAUGGUUCAGGUACAAGCGUUUAGGCUGAUGAGUAGGGAAAUCCGCUCAUUAUUAAGGCUGAGGCGUGAUGUGCAAACUCGCGAGGGUGAACUCAGAUGAUUCCACGCUGACGAGAAAAACCUCGUAGGGAGCUAUGUAAGUGACCGUACCGCAAACCGACACAGGUAGGUGGGUAGAAGAUACCAAGGCGUACGAGACAACCCUCGCUAAGGAACUCGGCAAAAUGACCCCGUAACUUAGGGAGAAGGGGUUCCUAGUGAUAGGACGCAGUAAAGAGGGCCAAGCGACUGUUUACCAAAAACACAGGAGUCUGCUAAUUUGAAAGAAGAAGUAUAGACUCUGACGCCUGCCCGGUGCCGGAAGGUUAAUAGGAGAGGUCAUUGCUGAAAAGUGAGAAGCCUUGAAUUGAAGCCCCGGUAAACGGCGGCCGUAACUAUAACGGUCCUAAGGUAGCGAAAUUCCUUGUCGGGUAAGUUCCG
rnacentral:rRNA from 1 species